rnacentral:rRNA from 1 species
CGGACGGGUGAGUAACGCGUGGACAACCUACCCCGCACUGGGGGACAACAGCCGGAAACGGCUGCUAAUACCGCAUAUGCGCACGGCCCCGCAUGGGGCCGCGCGGAAAGCGCAUGCGGUGCGGGAUGGGUCCGCGUCUGAUUAGCUUGUUGGCGGGGUAACGGCCCACCAAGGCGACGAUCAGUAGCCGGCCUGAGAGGGUGGACGGCCACAUUGGGACUGAGACACGGCCCAGCUCCUACGGAAGGCAGCAG